UACGUAGGGGGCUAGCGUUGUCCGGAAUUAUUGGGCGUAAAGAGCUCGUAGGCGGUUUGUCGCGUCUGCUGUGAAAACUCGGGGCUUAACUCCGGGCCUGCAGUGGGUACGGGCAGACUAGAGUGCGGUAGGGGAGACUGGAAUUCCUGGUGUAGCGGUGAAAUGCGCAGAUAUCAGGAGGAACACCGGUGGCGAAGGCGGGUCUCUGGGCCACUACUGACGCUGAGAAGCGAAAGCAUGGGGAGCGAACAGG
rnacentral:rRNA from 1 species